GGGGUCGUAUGGUUUUGACAGCAGUCGUAGCGGUUGGGGUAAGCAUGCAGUGCGUUGGGUAAUUAGCACUUUAAUCUGAAUACCAAACAAUCAAAAGGCGAAGCAAAUUUUGCCAUGGCUGCUUAAUUCAGUGAAUUAACACCCAUUUUGGUCGAGAGAGAAGGCAGGCCUGUUGCCCGCUCCUCAGCCUAAUUAAAAACAAAACAGGAUGCGAUAAAACUAGGCUGUGCCUUUUAUCUAAGUACUAUCCAGCUAAGCGAAUAAUUGGUUUGUGUUUUUCCUGUUAUUCGCCGACAAAUAAUAAAACAAUAAGCAUGUAGAAGACCAAUGGUAACAUUGUUUGGACAGGGGUUCGACUCCCCUCGACUCCACAA
rnacentral:tmRNA from 1 species